rnacentral:lncRNA from 13 species
CAAAAAUACACGAAAUAAAAGUCAAGUGAAAAUAGUUAUAAAUGACUUUAUCAAUUAUGAGUAGCUAAACAUUAUCGACUUUUGGACACUGAUGCGCAGGAGAACCCCUAGCUGUCAAUCAAGCAGGCGCGGUGAACGGAUUAUGACGCUCAAGCGUUCCAAAUGACGCAACAAUACAGCUCCAGACCAGAGAAAGUUAAUGCCGAGGAUAUUAUUCGGUUCAACACUAAAACUGAGGUUUGACACAUGUGAUUUGAGGUGAGUCAAAUAUUUACAAAAGUUUACAAUACAUUAACCAUCCGCUUCGUUAUUUCUGUUGCUAUCAAUCACUCCAUCUGUAUCUACUCUUCUGUCUGUCUGUCGGACUAUCUGAAUUGUCUGUGUACUGUCUAGCCAGCAUAUGCCAGAAAGGUUCUUUCACAUAGGCUCAUAUUCACAAAGUCUCAUAGAAGGAGUGCUGAUCAAUAAUCAGUUUGGUCUUUUAAAUUAAACUGAAUACGUUUUGAUGGACAGGAGGCGACCUGAUCCUAGAUCAGCACUCCUACCCUGAAACACUUUGUGAACACAAUCCAGGUGUACUGUGAUUAUGAAGUUGUGAUGAGGUAUUAUUAUAUUAGUUGUGCUGAUGCAUGAUGGGUUGUAGGCUAGAGCUUGAGGACUCAACUCUGAAGACUGUUUCUGAAUUCACUGACCUGAAAUAAAACGUGUAGACCUUUCCUGCAGUCUCUGAGGAGAUGGACACCUCUUCUUCUUCUGGACGAUCUCCGUCUCCUACUGGGACUGUCUUCUUACCCCCUCCUAUCAUGUGGAACAGUCUCUACAAGCAGGCAGAGAUGGAGGUUUACUUCCCGAGAGAAGAGAAGAAGACCUGUACAGAGAAGGAAGCCCACAUGCUUGAGUUGAUGGGGAAGGAUCGAACGAUCCGAAAUCAGAAGAAGACCUGUACAGAGAAGGAAGCCCACAUGCUUGAGUUGAUGGGGAAGGAUCGAACGAUCCGAAAUCAGAAGAAGGAGAUGGGCAGACUCCAAGUGUGCCUCUGGGAGGAGGAAAAGAAGAAGAGGAAUGGUGAAACGGAGAAGGACAAGAUCAUUGAACAAUUACAGUCUGAGACAGACCAUCUCCGAGCCCUUUUAAAAGAUGAAAGGAGGAGAAGAAGAGUAGAAAGGGGUAUCAUGAAAGAGUGGAAGGCUGAGAUCCUGAGACUGAGGGAGGCAGAGAGCCAGAGGGAGGCAGAGAGUCAGAGGGAGUCAGAGAGCCAGAGGGAGGCAGAGAGCCAGAGAGAAGCAGAGAGACAGAGAGAAGCAGAGAGACAGAGAGAAGCAGAGAGACAGAGAGAAGCAGAGAGACAGAGGGAGGCAGAGAGACAGAAGGAAGCAGAGAGACAGAGGGAGGCAGAGAGACAGAGAGAAGCAGAGAGACAGAGGGAAGCAGAGAGACAGAGGGAAGCAGAAAGAGCCACAGAAGCAAUGGAGCACCAGAGAAAACUGCAGGAGAUCCACAGACUAAAACAACUGCUGGAUUUACUGAUGGUGGACCUACAACUGGCCCACGUAAGACAUGUCAUUGUUAUUAUUAAAAGGCAGUGUAUAUUUACCCAGCUGAAAAUGAAUAGUGGCAGACAGCGGUACGCUAACCCAAUGUUAACUUUUAUUCCUUUCCUUAACCCUUACCUUAACCUCACUGAAACUAUACCUAACCUUUACCUUAACCCAACCCUAGGUCCUGAACCUAACCUUCAUUUAUCUCAACCCCUAUGCCUUUCUUCUGCCGGUUGAAUAUCCAUUUCCUUAUUAACGUCAUUACUGUUGUUGUUGUUGAUAACUGUAUCUGUGCAGGUUGUAAAUAGUUGCAUUAGUGAAACAUCAUCUGUAGGAGUAAUUUCUACAAGCAUAAACAUCAGAGGCAACAUUGUUGUAACAUCACACAAAUUGUAACAGGAAUUUCUCAAACCCCUAACUGAAUGGGCAAGAAGGUUGUGUGUUUGUAUUUGUACACAUUUGGACAUAAUUGAUUCCAUAAAAUGUCUCAUAAUUUUUUCAAACCAUGAUAAUACAUUUAUUGACAAUGAAUUGUCCAGAUGAAUUGAUCAACAUGACCCUGCUAUUGAUGUUGUCCAGUGUUUGAUGCAAUUACCUAGCUCUAGGUUGUAUUUCUGUGUAUCGUUCUCUGCAAAUCCUUUGAAAGUAUGUCUUGAUAAUAGAUUAUCACUAAUUUUACCUUUUAAAAUGAAGCAAGAGAUUGAGAGAUUGAGGCUAUGGCAGAAAGUCAUGGAGGAUCAGCGACCAAGACUGGCCUGGAACAACAAACCUAUUGAGACAGGAAGAGAGAGGGAAAAAGAGAGAGAAAGGGAGAUGGAAAGGAAGAGAAAAGCAGAAUUGGAAAGACAAGAAAUGAAGAAGAAAGUGGAACAGGCAGAAGAAACGAUAAAAGCGUUAGAACGAGAGAUUGAGAGAUUGAAAGAGAUUGAGAAGGAAAUCAUAUUUGAAAGAGAAAGAGACAUGCGUAUUGCAGAGAAUGAGAAAGUCAAACUGGUCAACGAAAAGGUAAAAGAGUUAGAGAGAGAGGUUGAGAGACUGAAAGAAGAUAUGACAACAAAAGAGAUUCAAUACAAAAUCAAAUUUGAAAGAGCGAAAGAAGCGUUUAGAAGACAGAAUGAGAGAGUGAAACAGGUUAACCAAAAUGUACUAGUGUUAGACAGAGAGGUUGUGAGAAUGAAAGAAGAGAUUAGAUUGAAAGACGAGACUGAACCAGAGAGAACAUUUGAUAGAGACAGAGAGAGAGAAAAUGAUUGGAGACGAAGUGAAGAGGANNNNNNNNNNAGAGAGAGAUCAAAAGAAAGAUAAUGGAAAAGAGACAAAAACAUAUCGAAAGAAAAGAAGAGAGACAGAAAGAGAUUGAAAGAGAGCACGAAGAAGAAAGAUGUAAACAGAAGCAAAUAGAGAUGGAAGAGGAAGAACGAGAGAGGGAGAAAGAGAGACAGAGAGAGAUCAAAAGAAAGAGAAUGGAGAAGAGACAGAAAAACAUGGAAAGAGAAGUGAGACAGAAAGAGAUCAAAAGAGAGAAUGAUGAAGAAAUGUGUAAACAGAAGCAAAAAGAGAUGGAAGAGGAAGUACAAGAGAAGGAGAAAGAGAGACAGAGAGAGAUCAAAAGAAAGAUCAUGGAAAAGAGACAAAAACAUAUCGAAAGAGAAGAAGAGAGACAGAAAGAGAUUGAAAGAGAGAAUGAAGAAGAAAGAUGUAAACAGAAGAAAAUAGAGAUGGAAGAGAAAGAAAGAGAAGAAGAGAGACAGAAAGAGAUUGAAAGAGAGAAUGAAGAACAACUAUUUAAACAGAAGCAAAUAGAGAUGGAAGAGGAAGAAAGAGAAGAAGAGAGACAGAGAGCGAUCGAAGAGAAAGAGAGACAGAGAGAGAUUGGAGAGAAAGAAAGACGACAACAACAAGUGGAGAGAAAGAUAAUGUUUGAGAGAGAUCAAGAAGAAGAAAAUAUAUGGAAACAGAAGCAAAUUGACAUGGAGGAGGGAAGAGAGAGGGAGAACAAGAGACAGAGAGAGAUAGAAGAGAUACACAGACGACAACAACAAGAGGAGAGACAGAAACAAAUGGAGAAGGAGAAAGAAAGGGAGAAAGACAAUGACAAUCAGAGAGAGAUGGAAUUAAAAGAUCAGCAACAGAAAGAG